GCGUGCCUAACACAUGCAAGUCGAACGAGAAAGUGGAGCAAUCCAUGAGUAAAGUGGCGACCGGGUGAGUAACACGUGACUAACCUACCUUCGAGUGGGGAAUAACUCCGGGAAACCGGGGCUAAUACCGCAUAACAUCGCAAGAUCAAAGCAGCAAUGCGCUUGAAGAGGGGGUCGCGGCUGAUUAGCUAGUUGGCGGGGUAACGGCCCACCAAGGCGAAGAUCGGUAUCCGGCCUGAGAGGGCGCACGGACACACUGGAACUGAAACACGGUCCAGACUCCUACGGGAGGCAGCAGUGGGGAAUUUUGCGCAAUGGGGGAAACCCUGACGCAGCAACGCCGCGUGGAGGAUGAAGCCCCUUGGGGCGUAAACUCCUUUCGACCAAGACGAUAAUGACGGUACUGGUGGAAGAAGCACCGGCUAACUCUGUGCCAGCGGCCGCGGUAAUACAGAGGGUGCGAGCGUUGUUCGGAAUUAUUGGGCGUAAAGGGCGCGUAGGCGGUGCCACAAGUCACUUGUGAAAUCUCCAGGCUUAACUUGGAGUCUGCAGGCGAAACUGUGGUGCUG
rnacentral:rRNA from 1 species